rnacentral:misc_RNA from 1 species
GAAAUGCGAUAAGUAAUGUGAAUUGCAGAAUUCAGUGAAUCAUCGAGUCUUUGAACGCACAUUGCGCCCCCUGGUAUUCCGGGGGGCAUGCCUGUCCGAGCGUCAUUGCUGCCCUCAAGCACGGCUUGUGUGUUGGGCCUUCGUCCCCCGUGGACGUGCCCGAAAUGCAGUGGCGGCGUCGUGUUCCGGUGCCCGAGCGUAUGGGGCUUUGUCACCCGCUCAUGGAGGCCCGGUACAAACCCUCUUUUCACGGUUUGACCUCGGAUCAGGUAGGGAUACCCGCUGAACUUAA